ensembl:lncRNA
CUUCAAAACAUAAAUGAUCAGGAUACGUGCGUUCACAACUAUUUGCAUUUAACACUAAACUGAUUAAAAAAAUACCGUAACUAGAAAUUAACAGUUGGCACUUCCUUCACUUCUGCGCACUCCAGGUGGAACCACAAAUGGCACACAAAUGGAACCACAAUGGCCUCAUCUACGGAGCCAGGUGGGACCACUCUACGGCAGAGAGCGCAGUGUUCUCCAUUUUCAGUAGGAGGAGCAGGUCAAAGUAUUCGUCGCUGGUGAUGACACGGGCUGGCAACGGAAUGCGAAGACUCAACUUUUUCUUCCUCUCCAGGGCUGGACUCAUGAGGACGUUAGCCAGACUCUCUGGUAUUACACCUGCUGCCACCAGCAGCCCUGGACAGAGGAAAAAUGCCAGCCUUGCGAAACCCGGCUUUGAUGUUUUGGACUGUGACAGCAGUGGGGUAGACAUGUUUGAGGAAAGCUGAAAACUGCUUCUUCCCACAACAAUGUCCCCUCGCACCAGACCCAUCCUGGAAGCCAUGGUGGAGAAAGCAGUCUUCAGUGGGUUGAAGACCGCAAUAUCGAGGGGCUGUAGUAUGUGUGUGGUGUGGGCAGGUAGGCAGAGAAUUUCCAUCUUGUUUUCUCUGCAGAACAUGAUUACAUCUUUUCAUACAUGUGUCUCGUGUUGGUCCAUGAUUAAAAUUAGUGGUCUCUCAUAUCUGAUGAAAUGGAGCCAUUUCAAGAAGAGCUCUGAGUCCAUGUAACCCUUCUCCUGGAUGCCAUAGAGAGCGUUUGGGGGCCCAU